rnacentral:lncRNA from 1 species
AAUUAAUCAUCACCAAAAUAAAAAUUUAUCGCUUUGAUCACCUCCUACCUAUGUUUUAGUCAACGACGAUGAUAGUGAGGACGACAACAACAACGACUAUGAAGGUGAGAACGACAGGGAUGAAGACAGCACAAAAACUGAACAAAUUGAAGCGAAGCGACGAUGACGAAGGCAACACAAAUAAAACGGAGGACUCGCGGUGGUGACGCUGGUGGAGGUAGUCCUUGGGGAGAACAACAGUGGCGGCAAAAACGAAGCAGCAAGGUGAAGAAGCAACAGAAUCAUGCGAAGAGAAAGAAGAAGAAGAAGCAGAAGCAGAAGCAGCAGCAGCGCGAAGAGAAAGAAGAAGAAGCAGAAGCAACGACGCCAAAAGAAAUGAAAAGAGCUAAAAAUUUUGAACUUAAUAAACGAUACUACCUCGGUUGUCCAAAACACCCGAGGCAAUAGAUCCCUACGACAUUGGUUAUCCAGGAAACCGAUGCUUAAAUUGAAGCCUAUAUGCCUCAGUUAGACAAAGAACCGAGACCAAAUUAACUUUUGACACCGGGUCUAAAGAAAC